rnacentral:rRNA from 1 species
AUGAACGCUAGCGGCAGGCCUAACACAUGCAAGUCGCGGGAGAAGCCCUUUCGGGGGCCGAAACCGGCGCACGGGUGCGUCACGCGUAUGCAACCUACCUUUCACAGGGGGAUAGCCCGAAGAAAUUUGGAUUAAUACCCCAUAAUAUUAUUGGAUGGCAUCAUUUGAUAAUUAAAACUGCGGUGGUGAAAGAUGGGCAUGCGUCCUAUUAGCUAGUUGGAGUGGUAACGGCACCCCAAGGCUACGAUAGGUAGGGGUCCUGAGAGGGAGAUCCCCCACACUGGUACUGAGACAGGGACCAGACUCCUACGGGAGGCAGCAGUGAGGAAUAUUGGGCAAUGGUCGGAAGACUGAACCAGCCAUGCCGCGUGCAGGAAGAAUGCCUUAUGGGUUGUAAACUGCUUUUAUAUGGGAAGAAUAAGGCGUACGUGUACGUUGAUGACGGUACCAUAUGAAUAAGCAUCGGCUAACUCCGUG